rnacentral:rRNA from 1 species
GUCCACGCCCUAAACGAUGAACACUCGCUGUUGGCGAUACACAGUCAGCGGCUAAGCGAAAGCGUUAAGUGUUCCACCUGGGGAGUACGCCCGCAAGGGUGAAACUCAAAGGAAUUGACGGGGGGCCCGCACAAGCGGAGGAGCAUGUGGUUUAAUUCGAUGAUACGCGAGGAACCUUACCCGGGCUUGAAAGUUAGUGAAUGAUCUAGAGAUAGAUCAGUCCGCAAGGACACGAAACUAGGUGCUGCAUGGCUGUCGU